UUAACACAUGCAAGUCGAACGAUGAAGCCCUUCGGGGUGGAUUAGUGGCGAACGGGUGAGUAACACGUGGGCAAUCUGCCCUGCACUCUGGGACAAGCCCUGGAAACGGGGUCUAAUACCGGAUAACACCCUCGCAGGCAUCUGCGAGGGUUAAAAGCUCCGGCGGUGCAGGAUGAGCCCGCGGCCUAUCAGCUUGUUGGUGAGGUAAUGGCUCACCAAGGCGACGACGGGUAGCCGGCCUGAGAGGGCGACCGGCCACACUGGGACUGAGACACGGCCCAGACUCCUACGGGAGGCAGCAGUGGGGAAUAUUGCACAAUGGGCGAAAGCCUGAUGCAGCGACGCCGCGUGAGGGAUGACGGCCUUCGGGUUGUAAACCUCUUUCAGCAGGGAAGAAGCGAAAGUGACGGUACCUGCAGAAGAAGCGCCGGCUAACUACGUGCCAGCAGCCGCGGUAAUACGUAGGGCGCAAGCGUUGUCCGGAAUUAUUGGGCGUAAAGAGCUCGUAGGCGGCUUGUCACGUCGAUUGUGAAAGCCCGAGGCUUAACCUCGGGUCUGCAGUCGAUACGGGCUAGCUAGAGUGUGGUAGGGGAGAUCGGAAUUCCUGGUGUAGCGGUGAAAUGCGCAGAUAUCAGGAGGAACACCGGUGGCGAAGGCGGAUCUCUGGGCCAUUACUGACGCUGAGGAGCGAAA
rnacentral:rRNA from 2 species